AAUAACAUUUUGUUUAUGUUGUUGUUGUUUUUAAUAUUGUUCAAUUUAAAAUUGGCGCCUCUCUUGCGAAUCAAAUAUGGCUUCCGUUGACACAUCAGCGCCUCUCUCUCUCUGGCAUAAUCAGCUGUAAUCAGCUGUUUUGGAGCAAUUGAAAAAAAUUAAAGUUUUGGAUUUUGACUUUUAAUUUUUUUUGAUCCAGAUUUGUCUGGAUAAUCAAAAAAAGUGAACAACAGUUUGAUAAUAAUUAAUUAGAGCUUAUAAUUGUUUGUUGAAUAUGGGUGUUGAUCAUUCAUUGUUUGUAACUGCUGCAUUUGUCAUGCACUGUUACUGGAUGUACAAAACUGACUACAGAAAUGGUGCCAAUGAUCUAAAUGGACCUUUUCCUCGAGGUGGUCCACACAAAAAACCAAGGGAACUGGUGGAAGCGAGCAAAAAAAAGAGAUUAUCUCAGUAGUGUGAAAUAAAUAAUCACCAUUGUGGUGACUCAAUUUAUCAAUAAUAUUAUUAUUCUUACAAUAAGUAUGUAAAUUUUUCAUCACAAUGAUUGUGCUUUAAAUUGAGUCUAAUAAAUAUCAGUCUAAUAAAUAUAAAAAUAUA